rnacentral:rRNA from 1 species
CCUACGGGAGGCAGCAGUGAGGAAUAUUGGUCAAUGGGCGCGAGCCUGAACCAGCCAAGUCGCGUGAGGGAUGACGGUCCUACGGGUUGUAAACCUCUUUUGCCGGGGAGCAAGCUUGCGUUCGUGAACCCUCUUCUAUGGUCCCCGUAGAAAAAGCCUCGGCUAACUCGGUGCCGGCGGCCGCGUUAAUACGGGGGAUGCGAGCGUUAUCGGGAUUUAUUGGGUUUAAAGGGUGCGUAGGCGGUCCUUUAAGUCAGCGGUAAAAUUGCGGGGCCAAACCCCGGCGAGCCGUUGAAACUGGCAGUCUUGAGUACAGUUGAGGUAGGCGGAAUUCGUGGUGUAGCGGUGAAAUGCUUAGAUAUCACGAAGAACCCCGAUUGCGAAGGCAGCUUACUAAACUGUGACUGACAUUGAUGCUCGAAAGUGUGGGUAUCAAACAGGAUUAGAUACCCGUGUAGUC